rnacentral:rRNA from 1 species
CAGUGUGUGUGUUAGUGGAAGCGUCUGGAAAGGCGCGCGAUACAGGGUGACAGCCCCGUACACAAAAAUGCACAUGCUGUGAGCUCGAUGAGUAGGGCGGGACACGUGGUAUCCUGUCUGAAUAUGGGGGGACCAUCCUCCAAGGCUAAAUACUCCUGACUGACCGAUAGUGAACCAGUACCGUGAGGGAAAGGCGAAAAGAACCCCGGCGAGGGGAGUGAAAAAGAACCUGAAACCGUGUACGUACAAGCAGUGGGAGCACAGAGCAAUCUGUGUGACUGCGUACCUUUUGUAUAAUGGGUCAGCGACUUAUAUUCUGUAGCAAGGUUAACCGAAUAGGGGAGCCGAAGGGAAACCGAGUCUUAACUGGGCGUUAAGUUGCAGGGUAUAGACCCGAAACCCGGUGAUCUAGCCAUGGGCAGGUUGAAGGUUGGGUAACACUAACUGGAGGACCGAACCGACUAAUGUUGAAAAAUUAGCGGAUGACUUGUGGCUGGGGGUGAAAGGCCAAUCAAACCGGGAGAUAGCUGGUUCUCCCCGAAAGCUAUUUAGGUAGCGCCUCGUGAAUUCAUCUCCGGGGGUAGAGCACUGUUUCGGCAAGGGGGUCAUCCCGACUUACCAACCCGAUGCAAACUGCGAAUACCGGAGAAUGUUAUCACGGGAGACACACGGCGGGUGCUAACGUCCGUCGUGAAGAGGGAAACAACCCAGACCGCCAGCUAAGGUCCCAAAGUCAUGGUUAAGUGGGAAACGAUGUGGGAAGGCCCAGACAGCCAGGAUGUUGGCUUAGAAGCAGCCAUCAUUUAAAGAAAGCGUAAUAGCUCACUGGUCGAGUCGGCCUGCGCGGAAGAUGUAACGGGGCUAAACCAUGCACCGAAGCUGCGGCAGCGACACUGUGUGUUGUUGGGUAGGGGAGCGUUCUGUAAGCCUGUGAAGGUGUGCUGUGAGGCAUGCUGGAGGUAUCAGAAGUGCGAAUGCUGACAUAAGUAACGAUAAAGCGGGUGAAAAGCCCGCUCGCCGGAAGACCAAGGGUUCCUGUCCAACGUUAAUCGGGGCAGGGUGAGUCGACCCCUAAGGCGAGGCCGAAAGGCGUAGUCGAUGGGAAACAGGUUAAUAUUCCUGUACUUGGUGUUACUGCGAAGGGGGGACGGAGAAGGCUAUGUUGGCCGGGCGACGGUUGUCCCGGUUUAAGCGUGUAGGCUGGUUUUCCAGGCAAAUCCGGAAAAUCAAGGCUGAGGCGUGAUGACGAGGCACUACGGUGCUGAAGCAACAAAUGCCCUGCUUCCAGGAAAAGCCUCUAAGCAUCAGGUAACAUCAAAUCGUACCCCAAACCGACACAGGUGGUCAGGUAGAGAAUACCAAGGCGCUUGAGAGAACUCGGGUGAAGGAACUAGGCAAAAUGGUGCCGUAACUUCGGGAGAAGGCACGCUGAUAUGUAGGUGAAGUCCCUCGCGGAUGGAGCUGAAAUCAGUCGAAGAUACCAGCUGGCUGCAACUGUUUAUUAAAAACACAGCACUGUGCAAACACGAAAGUGGACGUAUACGGUGUGACGCCUGCCCGGUGCCGGAAGGUUAAUUGAUGGGGUCAGCGCAAGCGAAGCUCUUGAUCGAAGCCCCGGUAAACGGCGGCCGUAACUAUAACGGUCCUAAGGUAGCGAAAUUCCUUGUCGGGUAAGUUCCGACCUGCACGAAUGGCGUAAUGAUGGCCAGGCUGUCUCCACCCGAGACUCAGUGAAAUUGAACUCGCUGUGAAGAUGCAGUGUACCCGCGGCAAGACGGAAAGACCCCGUGAACCUUUACUAUAGCUUGACACUGAACAUUGAGCCUUGAUGUGUAGGAUAGGUGGGAGGCUUUGAAGUGUGGACGCCAGUCUGCAUGGAGCCGACCUUGAAAUACCACCCUUUAAUGUUUGAUGUUCUAACGUGGACCCGUGAUCCGGGUUGCGGACAGUGUCUGGUGGGUAGUUUGACUGGGGCGGUCUCCUCCUAAAGAGUAACGGAGGAGCACGAAGGUUGGCUAAUCCUGGUCGGACAUCAGGAGGUUAGUGCAAUGGCAUAAGCCAGCUUGACUGCGAGCGUGACGGCGCGAGCAGGUGCGAAAGCAGGUCAUAGUGAUCCGGUGGUUCUGAAUGGAAGGGCCAUCGCUCAACGGAUAAAAGGUACUCCGGGGAUAACAGGCUGAUACCGCCCAAGAGUUCAUAUCGACGGCGGUGUUUGGCACCUCGAUGUCGGCUCAUCACAUCCUGGGGCUGAAGUAGGUCCCAAGGGUAUGGCUGUUCGCCAUUUAAAGUGGUACGCGAGCUGGGUUUAGAACGUCGUGAGACAGUUCGGUCCCUAUCUGCCGUGGGCGCUGGAGAACUGAGGGGGGCUGCUCCUAGUACGAGAGGACCGGAGUGGACGCAUCACUGGUGUUCGGGUUGUCAUGCCAAUGGCACUGCCCGGUAGCUAAAUGCGGAAGAGAUAAGUGCUGAAAGCAUCUAAGCACGAAACUUGCCCCGAGAUGAGUUCUCCCUGACCCUUUAAGGGUCCUGAAGGAACGUUGAAGACGACGACGUUGAUAGGCCGGGUGUGUAAGCGCAGCGAUGCGUUGAGCUAACCGGUACUAAUGAACCGUGAGGCUUAACCUUACAACGCCGAAGGUGUUU